ACUGUAUUUAGUUUUGAAAACUUCACUAGUCUGGUCAACGAGGAAAAAUUUACUGAAAAUACUCAAAAUUGAUUGAUUGGUAAUCAAAUAUGGGAAAACAUUUAAUUUACAUAAACAUGUGGAUUAGUUCAUCUGACAAAUUACAAGUUUCAACAAGACCGACAUGAAUAAAAGAUUUCGAUUUAUGAUGGAAUCCGCUAAUAUAUUCUGGUAACUCGUGUAAAACAUCUGAUUAUGAAUGGCUUAUACAAGCUUAAAUGACUUGUUAAAGGUUAUUAUCGCUGUUUCGUUUACUCUUUUCGAUUGUUAAUGAAAGAAUCAAGGUUGUGUGUCCAAAAAUUGGCCUCAUAUACAAUAUUUAAAUGAUUACUGCAAUCCUUUAAAUAGUAAACAAUCACAGCGAUCAAGGUGACUGAAGACCUUAUUGUUGUCAAAUUAUAUUGAUCAGCAAUUUCAAUGAGAAACGUAUUGAACAUGCCAUUAAUAUUAAUAAUAAUCUUUCAAUUAUAGCUUUUGAGAUUUGAAUAGAUGGAUUAAAUAAUAGCUUCGAGGUUGACAAAUUGAUUUAAAUAACACUCUGUGAAUCUUUUCAUUACAUCAUGGCAUCAACACGAGAAGCAAAAAAGCAUGGAAAGACUUGAAGCUAACCAUAAUUGUAACCAUUGAAUAUUUAUCUAAACAGGAAAAAUGAUGAAAAAUGAAUGGAAAAAUAAAUUCCUGUUUACCUGAAGAGAUUGAAUAAAAGUUCCUCAAGGCGUUAUUCACCUUUUAAAUAAUUGUCUUCACUUAUACUGUUGACCUUGAUUUGUGAUAAUUAUCGGUUAAUGAUCAACUUUUCAUGAUGAUCAAAAUGUAUUGCAAUUGUCUAUCAACAUUUUUCAAUGUCAGUGCCACAUUUAACUGUAUUAGCUGAGGCAAAUUUAUAAAUUAAAUUGUUUCAAUUCAAAACCAAUAAAUGAUGUAAAUUUAUUUUUGCUUUUA